rnacentral:rRNA from 1 species
GAGUAGCGAAAGAAGGGUGAGAAUCCCUCCACCGAAAGGCCUAAGGGUUCCUGGGCAACGAUCGUCGUCCAGGGUAAGUCGGGACCUAAUCCGAGGCGGAGACGCGUAGGAGAUGGACAACAGGUUGAAAUUCCUGUAC